UUUUAGUGUUUUAUAAAAAGUUGUUUUAUGUCAAAAAUGUCAAUUACAAAAUAUAAUAUUAAUUAAUGUGAUUCAAAACUAUUCAAUGAAAUAUGUAUAAACGGAAAGGGAAAUGAUAUUUGACUAACGCUACAAACUGGGAAGGCUGGCUUUAGUCUUAUACCCUUUAAAUUCUCGCUUAAGGUAUCUUCAGACUUAACCUAUUUCCCUUCAGAGCUUUUCAUUUUUUGCAACAAUUUGGUCAAUAUGUUGCUAAUCGUGACCACAAAAUCCAAAGUAAAAUAUCUAACUAACAUCUACGGACAGCAAAAGCUAAAACAUCAAUAAUGUGAAAGAAGAUACUAUAAUACUGAAAUUCUUGCCAGCCAGAUUUUAUUAUGUUACCAACUUGAUAUGAAAAUGGAAUUACCUUUGCUGUUAAGGGUAUUGUUGUUGCUGUCGUUACAGUAAUAUUUACACAAGCAAUUAUUAUUGUUAUUGUAAUAUGUGUGGACAUAAAGAGAAAUAAACAUAUUUACAAUUUUAAGUAUAUGGUGGGCUUGUAAGUAUUCUGAACGAGCGUUUCCUAAGCGGAAAACACAACCUUCACGUACGAAAUGCAAAAACGCACUGAACGAAACAUUUACUGUUUCGUGCUCAAUUUUACCACCCGAACCGAGUCAA